UGGCUCAGAGGUUAAAGCAUCUGCCUGCAAUGCAGGAGGCCUGGGUUCAAUCCCUG
rnacentral:tRNA from 1 species